UACAUCGGAACGUACCCAGUAGUGGGGGAUAGCCCGGCGAAAGCCGGAUUAAUACCGCAUACGACCUAUGGGUGAAAGUGGGGGAUCGCAAGACCUCAUGCUCGUGGAGCGGCCGAUAUCUGAUUAGCUAGUUGGUGGGGUAAAGGCCCACCAAGGCGAUGAUCAGUAGCUGGUCUGAGAGGAUGAUCAGCCACACUGGGACUGAGACACGGCCCAG
rnacentral:rRNA from 1 species